rnacentral:rRNA from 1 species
GGCAGCAGUGGGGAAUAUUGGACAAUGGGGGCAACCCUGAUCCAGCCAUGCCGCGUGUGUGAAGAAGGCCUUAGGGUUGUAAAGCACUUUCAGUGGUGAGGAAGGGUGCGUAGUUAAUACCUGCGUACUUUGACGUUAGCCACAGAAGAAGCACCGGCUAACUCUGUGCCAGCAGCCGCGGUAAUACAGAGGGUGCAAGCGUUAAUCGGAAUUACUGGGCGUAAAGCGCGCGUAGGUGGUUUGUUAAGUCGGAUGUGAAAUCCCCGGGCUCAACCUGGGCAUCGCACCCGAUACUGGCAGGCUAGAGUACGAGAGAGGGAUGUGGAAUUUCCUGUGUAGCGGUGAAAUGCGUAGAUAUAGGAAGGAACACCAGUGGCGAAAGCGACACACCAGUGGCGAAAGCGACACACCAGUGGCGAAGGCGAC